AUGAAGAACGUAGCGAAAUGCGAUAAGUAAUGUGAAUUGCAGAAUUCAGUGAAUCAUCGAAUCUUUGAACGCACAUUGCGCCCCCUGGUAUUCCGGGGGGCAUGCCUGUCCGAGCGUCAUUACAACCCUCAAGCUCAGCUUGGUGUUGGGCCCCGCCGCCCCGGCGGGCCCUAAAGUCAGUGGCGGUGCCGUCCGGCUCCGAGCGUAGUAAUUCUUCUCGCUCUGGAGGUCCGGUCGUGUGCUCGCCAGCAACCCCCAAUUUUUUUCAGGUUGACCUCGGAUCAGGUAGGGAUACCCGCUGAACUUAAGCAUAUCAAUAAGCGAGGA
rnacentral:misc_RNA from 1 species